AUGACUAAUCCAAAGGAAAGGAGGAGAGAUACCCGAUAGAUGUUUUCUAGGUCUUUUAGAAAACAUGGAGUUGUUCCUUUGGCCACGUAUAUGCAAAUCUAAAAGAGAGGUGAUACUGUAGACAUUAAGGGAAUGGGUACUGUUCAAAAAGGAAUGCCCCACAAGUGUUACCGUGGCUAAACUGGAAGAGUCUACAGUGUUACCCAGCAGGCUGUUGGCAUUGCUGUUUUUUUGGCAAGAUUCUUACCAAGAGAAUUAAUGUGCAUAUUGAGCACAUUAAGCACUCUAAGAGCCGAGAUAGCUUCCUGAAACACAUGAAGGAAAAUGAUCAGAAAAAGAAGGAAGCCAAAGAGAAAGGUACCUGCAUUUAGCUGAAGUGCCAGCCUGUUCCACCCAGAGAAGCGCGCUGUGUGAAAACCAAGGGAAAGAAGUCUGAGCUGCUGGAACCUCUUCUCUGUGAAUUCAUGCAUAA
rnacentral:lncRNA from 1 species